rnacentral:tRNA from 1 species
GUGGAUGUGGCUCAGUGGUAGAGCACUGGCCUAGCAUGCAUGAAGCCCUGGGUUCAAUCCCCAGUAUCUCA